UACAGAGGUCUCAAGCGUUGUUCGGAUUCAUUGGGCGUAAAGGGUGCGUAGGUGGCGCUGUAAGUCGGGUGUGAAAUUUCGGAGCUUAACUCCGAAACUGCAUUCGAUACUGCGGUGCUUGAGGACUGGAGAGGAGACUGGAAUUCAUGGUGUAGCAGUGAAAUGCGUAGAGAUCAUGAGGAAGACCAGUGGCGAAGGCGGGUCUCUGGACAGUUCCUGACACUGAGGCACGAAGGCCAGGGGAGCAAAACGG
rnacentral:rRNA from 1 species